rnacentral:rRNA from 1 species
AUUGAACGCUGGCGGCAGGCCUAACACAUGCAAGUCGAGCGGCUGACGGGAGCUUGCUCCUUGAUUCAGCGGCGGACAGGUGAGUAAUGCCUAGGAAUCUGCCUGGUAGUGGGGGACAACGUUUCGAGAGGAACGCUAAUACCGCAUACGUCCUACGGGAGAAAGCAGGGGACCUUCGGGCCUUGCGCUAUCAGAUGAGCCUAGGUCGGAUUAGCUAGUUGGUGGGGUAAUGGCUCACCAAGGCGACGAUCCGUAACUGGUCUGAGAGGAUGAUCAGUCACACUGGAACUGAGACACGGUCCAGACUCCUACGGGAGGCAGCAGUGGGGAAUAUUGGACAAUGGGCGAAAGCCUGAUCCAGCCAUGCCGCGUGUGUGAAGAAGGUCUUCGGAUUGUAAAGCACUUUAAGUUGGGAGGAAGGGCAGUAAGUUAAUACCUUGCUGUUUUGACGUUACCGACAGAAUAAGCACCGGCUAACUCUGUGCCAGCCGCCGCGGUAA